CCAACGUUAAUCGGGGCAGGGUGAGUCGACCCCUAAGGCGAGGCCGAAAGGCGUAGUCGAUGGGAAACGGGUUAAUAUUCCCGUACUUGGUGUUACUGCGAAGGGGGGACGGAGAAGGCUAUGUUGGUGAAGAAUGGUCAUGUCUACGUCGCGCUGCCGCCGCUAUACCGUAUCGAUUUGGGUAAAGAGGUCUAUUACGCGCUGACGGAAGAAGAGAAGGCGGGCGUACUGGAACAACUGAAGCGUAAGAA
rnacentral:rRNA from 1 species